AUGUCCCAGAAAAGAACCAUGAAAUGUGGUUGUUUUACUAACAAACAGAGGAUUGCAAUGAAACCAAACAUGACUCGAUAAAUGUCCGUUUAGAUUAAGUAAUUACAUCGAACGUUAGGUCCAAAGUUGAAGGACACUGUAUUUACAACACAAGCCGUUUACAAAAUGUUUCCUGUUAGGCUAUACAAAUGGAUUAUAACGAACAAAACAACACUUUGUUUCGUCAUGACCUUUAGUGUUGCCAAAAAAAGAAGCUCUUCAAAGAGAGGAGUGACCAAAACAAACCUCGGGUUUUCCGGGCCACAGGAGUGUGCAAGAAUGUGGUCAGCACAUUUUCCUAUAGUUGGAAGAAGCAGAAGACCCUGACAAAGUGCACAGGAUAAACUGAGCCUGCCCUCGACAAGCUCUUCACGGAAUCCCGACAAGGUGGUGAUCUCGACUGCAGAUGAUGGAAAGAGUCCUGGAGCAAAAGGGCAGCAGGCAAAAAAACAUGGAACCCUGCAACCUCCUGGCAAGACAUUGAGGUCUUUGAAUCUAUCACAGCAAAGCCCCUCCAGGAGAGACAUACAUGAGUGUGUCCUAUCUGAAGCCCGUCCUCCAUGUUGUCAAGAGGGAGGUUCUGAAAUCAAACGAGGGCAAAGCCAAACUGAAACAAGACAUUAAGAUGAGGGUCCUCAAUUACCUGAAUGACAAGUACACCAACCCUGAAACAGAUGAGCUGCUCAUCAUGGCUACCUUUCAGGACCCAAGGUUCAAGACCACCUACAUGACCACUGAGAAGCUGGUGGAGGUGAAGGUGAGAGCUGCCUCCGAGACAGAAGCCCUCCUGGUAGGGAACACAGCCAUGGGAGACUUCUCUCUUGAAGAGGACCAGAGUGAGAGAGAGAAAGAAGCUGCCACUGCUCCACAAAUCAGCAAAGAAGUCUAAGAGGAGCCUUGGGAGCUUCUUUAAGAAAAGCAGUAGUGCACCUGCCUUGAGAACCCAGAGAUAGGUCAUGGAGAAAGAGUUGGACAGCUACACUCUGAUGGCAGCAGAGUGAGGCUGAUCCUUUGGAGUGGUGGCGAGUUCACACGUACAACUUCUCACAAAUUUCCUCCUCUUCGUCUGAAGAGGUGUAGCAAGGAUCGGACCAAUAUGCAGCGUGGUAAGUGUCCAGACAAAUCAACGAGUCUUGGUUUCGUAGCGACCAGAGCAGGGACAAACCGCUGGCUCCCCAGGGUGCAAAACAUGUGUACCAGCAGGCUCCAGGGAACAAGGAGG